GUUCAAGAAAGAGGGACGCACUCCCAACUCUGUGGAAUGCGGCCAAAUCCAAAAGAAUCUUCUGCGGCAAUGGCGGAAAGGUGAUGUGUGUGUGGUGUAUUGCAACUUACUGUGGAACAGUGAGUCAUGGGCCUGCUGUGAUUUUGAGGAACUACCGUAUGGUCGAGAAUACAGUUGACGCCAUUUAAUACCACAAAAGAUUGACUUCACAAAUGCCAAAAAGAGUUCCUCUUACCCAGAAGACCAGGCUGAGGAAGAGGAGGACCGUCUUGGAAGUAAUGAUGCCGCAGUCCAUAUCGUUCAGGCGGUGGUCAGGAGACUGAAACGGAAUCAGCCCAGCU